CAUGAAAAGUUAAUUUUUUUUCAUUUUCUUUCCUUGUUUUCUUUUCAUUUUCUUUCUCUUCUUGCUUCUUCCUUCUCCCAACUCCUUGUGCACCAAAGUUACAAAUUCUAACCCUAAAUUUCAGCACUUCCAAACCCAAGAAGAAAGAAAGAAAAAUCUUUCUUUCUUUCCUUUAUCUUCUAUUUCUACUUCACUUUUAACAACACUUGGAUUUUUGGCUUCAAAUCUUCAUUUUCAAGGUUGAAAGCGAGAAACUCUCAAGGUUCUUGCCGCCAGAAUCUUGUUGCAGCGAGAAUCCACUCUCACUGCAAUGAGAAACCUUCUGUCAUGGUUACUACCUUGCUUGGUUUCUGCCAUAUUUUCUACUUCUUUAACCUCACGGUUUUUCUGAAUUAAAGGUAAUUGGAUCCUAUGACGAGGUGCUCCUCCCUAUCCAUUGCUCGGUAGAUUUCACAUGACACUAAACAUUAACAACCGUACCCAAAGUGACUCCGCUAAUGGUCAAGGUCCAAUUAUGUGUAUAUGAAUGCUUGUUGUGAAAUGCUAAGAUUCAUUUGUCAAGGUAUAUAUGUACAUUAUGGUUGAUGAUGCUAUUCUUAAUGCAAAAUGGGGUUUUAUGAAUUGUUUUCAAAGGAAUCAUAUUUGAACCUUAUGAAUUUUGGAUUUCAAAGAAAUAUAUAAGAUUAUAUAAA